rnacentral:rRNA from 1 species
UCGAGAAUUUUUCACAAUGGGGGAAACCCUGAUGGAGCGACGCCGCGUGGGGGAUGAAUGGCUUCGGCCCGUAAACCCCUGUCAUUUGCGAGCAAAGCGCAUUAUUUAAAAGAUGAUGUGUAGAUAGUAGCGGAAGAGGAAGGGACGGCUAACUCUGUGCCAGCAGCCGCGGUAAUACAGAGGUCCCGAGCGUCGUUCGGAUUCACUGGGCGUAAAGGGUGCGUAGGUGGUGAGGUGUGUCGGAUGUGAAAUCUCGGAGCUCAACUCCGAAACUGCAUUGGAAACUACCUUGUUGGAGGGUUGGAGGGGGGACUGGAAUACUUGGUGUAGCAGUGAAAUGCGUAGAUAUCAAGUGGAACACCAGUGGCGAAGGCGAGUCCCUGGACAACUCCUGACACUGAGGCACGAAAGCUAGGGGAGCAAACAG